UACGUAGGGGGCAAGCGUUGUCCGGAUUUAUUGGGCGUAAAGAGCGUGUAGGCGGCCAGACAGGUCAGCUGUGAAAACUCGAGGCUCAACCUCGAGACGUCGGUUGAAACCGUCUGGCUAGAGUCCGGAAGAGGAGAGUGGAAUUCCCGGUGUAGCGGUGAAAUGCGUAGAUAUGCGGAGGAACACCGAUGGCGAAGGCAAUCCCCUGGGCCUGCACUGACGCUCAUGCACGAAAGCGUGGGGAGCAAACAGG
rnacentral:rRNA from 1 species